GUUCAAAGCUUUUUCUGUAUUUUUUUUCCUUUUUAUUUUCUAUUUAUUUUUCUUGCAAUGUCUGUUGGGUAGCUGAGAAAUGGUAUGAAGGAAAAAUGGAAGGUAGAAUGUUUAUAGUGUUAUGGUUGAGCGAAUCGCGGUUGAGCUAAGUUUAUUUAUUUAUUUAAUCACUUUUUAUUUUCCGUUUAUGAUUUGUUUGAGCCGAUUAUGUUCAUGACCGUAAGCUUUAUUGGAUAUCUAUAUUCGUCUCUUGAUUUUGUUCUUCUGAUGCGGAUGUUAUUUCUCAUUUGUAAUGGAUUGUAUAAAAGAUUUUGGGCAAUUUGAUUUUAUUAUAUCGAGUUUUCGAUUGAUCAGGGAUCAAGGUUUUAUUUCUUUGUUUUUCAAAAUAUGCGGCUUGGUGUGGGAGGCAAUGAGCAUACCUCAUAUUUCU
rnacentral:misc_RNA from 1 species